rnacentral:rRNA from 1 species
GACGAACGCUGGCGGCGUGCUUAACACAUGCAAGUCGAACGGUAAGGCCCUUCGGGGUACACGAGUGGCGAACGGGUGAGUAACACGUGGGUGAUCUGCCCUGCACUUCGGGAUAAGCCUGGGAAACUGGGUCUAAUACCGGAUAGGACCCUGGGAUGGAUGUCCUGGAGUGGAAAGCUUUUGCGGUGUGGGAUGGGCCCGCGGCCUAUCAGCUUGUUGGUGGGGUGAUGGCCUACCAAGGCGACGACGGGUAGCCGGCCUGAGAGGGUGACCGGCCACACUGGGACUGAGAUACGGCCCAGACUCCUACGGGAGGCAGCAGUGGGGAAUAUUGCACAAUGGGCGCAAGCCUGAUGCAGCGACGCCGCGUGAGGGAUGACGGCCUUCGGGUUGUAAACCUCUUUCAGCACCGACGAAGCGCAAGUGACGGUAGGUGCAGAAGAAGGACCGGCCAACUACGUGCCAGCAGCCGCAGUAA